rnacentral:misc_RNA from 1 species
GGAAGUAAGAGUCGUAACAAGGUUUCCGUAGGUGAACCUGCGGAAGGAUCAUUAAAGAGAAUAUGCCCUUCGGGGUAGAUCUCCCACCCUUUGUUUAUAUUACCUUUGUUGCUUUGGCAGGCCCGUCUUCGGACCACCGGCUUCGGCUGGUCAGUGCUUGCCAGAGGACCCAAAACUCUUAUUAUUAAUGUCGUCUGAGUACUAUAUAAUAGUUAAAACUUUCAACAACGGAUCUCUUGGUUCUG